UACAGAGGUCCCAAGCGUUGUUCGGAUUCACUGGGCGUAAAGGGUGCGUAGGCGGUGAGGUAAGUCGGAUGUGAAAUCUCCGAGCUCAACUCGGAAAUGGCAUUGGAAACUACCUUGCUCGAGGGUUGGAGGGGGGACUGGAAUGCUUGGUGUAGCAGUGAAAUGCGUAGAUAUCAAGCGGAACACCAGUGGCGAAGGCGAGUCCCUGGACAACUCCUGACACUGAGGCACGAAAGCUAGGGGAGCAAACAGG
rnacentral:rRNA from 1 species